rnacentral:rRNA from 1 species
GAUGAACGCUAGCGACAGGCCUAACACAUGCAAGUCGAGGGGCAGCACGGUGUAGCAAUACACGGGUGGCGACCGGCGCACGGGUGAGUAACGCGUAUGCAACCUGCCUACUACAAGGGGAUAACCCGUUGAAAGACGGACUAAUACCCUAUAACACAGGGAAUCCGCAUGGAUAUAUUUGUUAAAGAUUUAUCGGUAGUAGAUGGGCAUGCGUUCCAUUAGCUUGUUGGUGAGGUAACGGCUCACCAAGGCAACGAUGGAUAGGGGAACUGAGAGGUUGAUCCCCCACACUGGAACUGAGACACGGUCCAGACUCCUACGGGAGGCAGCAGUGAGGAAUAUUGGUCAAUGGACGAGAGUCUGAACCAGCCAAGUCGCGUGAAGGAAGACGGCCCUACGGGUUGUAAACUUCUUUUGUAAGGGAAUAAAUAGUCUUACGCGCUAAGACGUUGCAGGUACCUUACGAAUAAGGAUCGGCUAACUCCGUGCCAGCAGCCGCGGUAAAAGUC